AUUCUGCUCAUCUGAAACAACUAACAAAGUCCAUCCAACAGUCAAGGGGAGAUGAAUUAGGGCCCACCUUUUGAAGAGAGCAGUGUUCAAGAAUUUGUGACAUAUUUUAUACCAUCACACACUGAUAUUAGAAGAUUGAAAGAGCAGGAAGGGAAUACCAAAGUACCACCUUUCAAAUCUUGCUGCUUAAUUCUUCAUGCUGAACUAUGAAGGUCAUCUUAUGUGGUCCAGAUCCCUGUUACCUCUUCACAUUUACAUAUUUGCAUCAAGAUCCCAAAAAUGUAACUGAAGGAGAAUGGUGUAAAAUGACUUAAGAUGAUUCUAACCAUUCAGUUCCACAUUUAAAAGCAGGGAGAGCCUGCCUUAACUGAAGUGAUGAUUUCCAUGUGACUUGGAGGCACUGGAUAUGAGCUGACUGGGUCCAGUUGUGAGUUCUCUCUGGGAAGCAAAUGACUUUAUUAUCCCUGUUUUCUACAUGAUGAAUGCAAGCCGAAGAGGUAAAGUGGCUUGAACGUGUUACACAGCCAUGAAGAGAUGGCACUUGAACCUGGGUUUUCUUAUCCCAGUUCCUUCUCUUUUCUCUCUGCCCUGCUGAGCCUUCCCAAGAAGAGGCUUUGAAAGGGGAGGAGACCAAGAGCACUGGGCCCUCUAGAGAAGAAUGGAGUAAAUGAGAUUUUGUCUCAGAACAUGGAAGCUGGGAAUAGAGGUGAAAAACUACAUCCACUGCCAAUUUUGUCUAAAAUAGCGUUGAAAGCUAACAUUUUAUAAAAACACCACUGAGCUCAGAUUUCCACGAAGGGCAGGUCAGCAGUAAUCCUGGCAUUAUGUGCUCUCAGGUCUGUGACCACAACAUAAAUGCCAGUGAAAGAAAUCUCAUAGUCAGUUUGUGAACUCCAACUGAAAAUGCAGGUGUGGUUGUAAAGAGCUAGGAAUACAGUGAUUGUGAGUUACAAGGGCAGAUGUUAAAUAUUCAUCUCAGGAAAGGAUCAUUGGGGUUUAUAAUAGUUUUGACUGCACUCUAGUUUAUUUUCUUGGUUCAAAAAAAGAAAAAAAAAAGCCUUCUGUUGCUACAGAUUUCAAGUGUGAUUUUUUUUAAAAUUUCGUGUUCAGGGGAAAUAGAUUCAUUGAGGCAGAAUUCAGUAUGUUUUCAAUCAUGGGCAGGUAAAGUGAAUUCUUAGAAAGUAAGUGCUAUGAUGGUUAAAAUUAAUCUAAUAGGAGAUGUCCCCUCUACCAUUUUGGGGGUAAAGUGAAAGUGUUAGUCACUCAGUCAUGUUCAACUCUUUGCAUCCCAUGG